UGGAACAGCUUGUCUGUCCUCAGUGCA
rnacentral:piRNA from 1 species